AGCGUUGCGCAGUGUCGGUACCAUAGUCAAGAGGGUUAACGACAGGCGUGGUUAUUGCUAAUUCAAAACAAUAUUCCGAGCCGACGACCGGAUAUAUUGGUGGCACGUCCAAUUUAUGGACGUCCUCACGAGGA